GAUGGCAACACAUGUAUAUAGUACAUAUUAUUUAACUGUUCUCUUUUUGAAUAAAGUAGGAGCACUGCUAAUUCAUUUAAUGAGAUAGAAGUUCAUGCUUACAAUAAAUUCGACAUUACAUAGGAUAACUAGCUCUCUAGGCUUACACAUUAAUAAAAACUAACAUACACUAACUAAACUCGGAGUUACCGCACGCUCUUUGACGCAUCUUAACAUCAUCUUGUAUCAUGUCGAACACUGGCAUCGGCUGGAGAGAUUUUCCUUCAAACACUCGUCGGUUGCGCUUCUUCCAUAUGUUCUAUGCAGUGAGGAUUAGGUACGCGGCCACAGAUCGGCCUUGCUUCUUGUUGAAUGGCGCAAGUGAUCUCUUCCACCAUUGUUCCACUUCUACAUCAUCAUCUUCCGGUAUAUUGAUUAUCCCCCC
rnacentral:lncRNA from 1 species